UUUUUUUUUUUUGUUAUUUUUCAUGCAAAAGGAGCUACCUAUUUGUUUUUUGUAUUUUCUGGAUUCAUCUCUGUUAUCAUUAUUUCCUAAUAGUGCAUAACUUUGUUGCAUCUUUUAAAACUUCAUAAUACCCAAGAUUACCCCAUUUCGUUUUGCCUUAUAUCCGGCUAAGAUUGUUGGUGAUUUCAUUUUUUUUAAUACUUUCUUGGGCCUAUUUUGUUUCCUUGCAGCAAUUUCUUUGACCUGUUGAAUAGGAAAAUGUAAUUUGUAUUCCCAGUUUUAUAGCUUUCCUUUCUUUCCUUCAUGCCUACAUAGCUUGUCUUAUGAAUCUUUUAACUGGAGAAAAUAAAAGUAGUUUUUACCUUUCUUCAUUAGGGCUAUUCUUAGAUGUGUUGGUAAUGACAGAAAUUAGUUUAUCUGGGUAAAAACCACCUCAGAUAUUGUUGGAAUGUCAAAUUUCCUAGUUGAAGUUUUUCACUUCAUAGAUAAUUUCAUACUUAUCAAAUAGUACUAAACAAAUAAGUAAUAAAAUACUUAAUAGUGUUCAGAUGGGUGUUAUAAUCUGACCAUAUGCAUUGUGGAAAAUUUAUGCUAUGAAAUGUUUCUUGACAUAAAACACUUUAAACAAAAUGAAGCUUUACUUUUUGAAAAGUAUGUUGUGAGAUUUUAAAAAUAUAUAUAUAAACAAAAUCUUUUUCCUUUGUCAUAGGGCAAAAAUAAUGCCUGUUAUUAAUGAUAUCCACUGAUAUUUUCCACCCCCAUGUGAAUUUUGUCAAUUUCAAUUCCCUGUGCAAACAAACCCCUGUCCCAUUGCUCCCUACCCACCCCCAACCCCAGGAGUUUAUUUAAAAUUUCCCUGUUCUUAGGAAUUCUCAACUUAUAUGAACAACUAUUUUUAGGACGUCAGUUCAGGAAUAGAAUUACUUGGGACCUUAUUAUUAUAGAUUCAGUCCUUUCAUGUGUUGUGGAAAUAGGUGAAAUCAGUGGUACCUGAAAAGAGAUGUUGAAAACAUAGGUUCUAGUCUCUCUCUGUUAAGUAUUAUAGUAAGGGUGAUAAUAGUUGCUCAGCUUACUCAUAAGAAGCUUAUGAAAAUAACCUGCAGUGGUGAACAUAACAAUGUUAUAAACAAACCCAUUUUAUACAAACUCGACAUGUGAUUAAUGGAAAACCUGAUAGUCAAUGGUAGAUUACAUAUUUUAGCCAGCAAUUGUGCAGUAUUCCCCAGGUCCCAUACAAUCUUACAUAAGUGUAGUUCAAGCCAGAUGAUUUGUGAUUUAAAAAAAACCCCUACAUUUCCUGCCCUCAUGGAGUUUUCCAAUAUAAACACAUUUGCCCAGACAGAGGCAGUGGAAUAGGCACGAGACACUGAACACAAAACAGGCAUAUUUAAUGUAGUAUGGAAAAACAAAUGACAACCCCAUAUUUGCAGGAUAUUGACCUGUUUUUCUAACCCCUUCCCUCUCAAAGAAAACCCUAUUCCUUAAAGAAAGGAUGAAAGGUUUGCUUGUUUCUAAACUUGAUUUGAAGUCCUGCUUAACAUAAACCCUGACCUUAAAUUCCUGGGUGAGGCCCAUCUCCCAUCCC
rnacentral:lncRNA from 1 species